AUUUGGAGAUAGUGCUAAUCUUGAUGCAAGAUGCACGGUCUGCGUGGAACAUACCAUAUGCUCAUAAAUCAAUUUGGACGCACCAGAUGGAACUCCUAGAUGACAUAUGAUGCAAGAUGUGCGUCCAAAUUGAUUUCUGAGCAUAUGGUAUGUUCCAUGCAAAUCGUGCACCUAUCUUGCAUCAAGAUUACCACUAUCUCUAUAU
rnacentral:pre_miRNA from 1 species